UACAGAGGUCUCAAGCGUUGUUCGGAUUCAUUGGGCGUAAAGGGUGCGUAGGUGGCGCCGUAAGUCGGGUGUGAAAUUUCGGAGCUUAACUCCGAAACUGCAUUCGAUACUGCGGUGCUUGAGGACUGGAGAGGAGACUGGAAUUCUCGGUGUAGCGGUGAAAUGCGUAGAUAUCGGGAGGAACACCUGCGGCGAAGGCGGGUUGCUGGGCUGACACUGACGCUGAUGCGCGAAAGCCAGGGGAGCGAACGGG
rnacentral:rRNA from 1 species